AUUGCAAGAGAUUGAGCCCCGUAAGGAGAUUGCGAC
rnacentral:other from 1 species